UGUGUGCCAAGCGCCGGGCUAAGCACUUCAUAGCUGUUAUUUUAUUUAAUCUUCAUCGGGAUCCCAUGGAGAAGAUGGAAUGCAGUGGUUUUCAACUUUCUCUUUUUAAACGGGUUUUUAAAAUGAAACCUCAGUGAACAGAAGACGUGGAAGCUUGACUCUGCUUGCAGAAGACCCAGGGACUUUCUCAGCCUUCCUGCCUCCCUCAUGGUCCAUGAGAAAGAGGGAGAUGUCAAUGCUGAACUCCUGGCUGAGACAUCCAUCAUUUGCCAUCUGUGUUGUCUGGAGCAAGUUGCCAGAUCUCUGAUCUUACGUCUCCAAGUGUUAACUAGGAGAAUUAAACAAGGAAUCCACUGGAGUCCUUGGGGGGUAUUGCCCUUGCAUAAACAGGUAGUACCACAUGAUUGCAAACAAGAAAAAAUCUCUGGUUGCUGCAAUCUGCCAUGGUUUUUGAAGUCAUCUGCCCUGUACCACCAUUCUGUGCUGACUGGUACUUUAAAGAAUCCUACUAGCUGUUUCGAAAGGGACCACUGAAUGUUGAAGACUUUCGUCAACCUUCUGUGCGAGGAACAUAACCCUCUCAGCCUCCUGCAGGCCGGGGCUGUAACAUCACAGUUGUGGCUGACUGACUUACGCACACGGGCCUCUAACACUCUGAAUUUAGCGUGCUUCUGCCCUUGUUAACUCUGGUGAUGUUGAGUGAAUCCAAUGUCCUUAACACAACAAACAUGAUUGCUUGUCACCUGGCCUUUGUCCUCUGCCUGCUUCAGUCUGAAACUCUGGACAGAUGCAUCUGCUUGUAGGUCACUGAUUCACUCCUGUAUUCAUUCAUCACAGGAUCACUACAAUCACAGGACUGCCAGGCCCUGAAAUGAGCAAUACACAGCCUCUGAGGAGGAAAUGAGUGGCUAGAAAAUGUCUGUAAGAUGGUGAAUAACCCUGCAGUAGGGAAGGCCCAGGUGCCUGGGGGACUCACAACCAGGAAGGAAUCAGGCUGUUUGGGGUGGGGGGAGGGAUGAGACCGGUUGUAACUUGAUUUGUCUCCUGAAGCCAAGAGCUGGUAAAUGGCAGUCUCUUUCUGUUCUAAUUUUCCAGGAAGUAGGCAUGGAAAACUUUGGUGGCACCUCCCCUGUGGGCUCUCCCUUUUCGUUUGUGUAGAGCUGAUGGCGAAGCCAGGAGACAGGGAAAGUUAAACAGAUGGGCACAGGCCUGAACAUUAACUUAAACUAAACUAAAAGUGGGGAUACCAAAAUGACUACCAGGGCCCAAUGAGAUGUGAGGACAAAGAACAGAUCCUUAAACAGAUGGGAGAGAUCUUGAAGGAAAUAAAAUAGCAAUUAAAGCAGUUUGGACUCCAAACACAAAAGGCCUGCCUGCAACCUGGAGCCUCCCUGCUUUCUGUCUCAUGUACACUGGUUCCAAAAACUAUAUAACCACUGCUGAUCCUGAGCUUCCAUGGUGCCCGCCUCACAGGGCAUCAUCCGUCUCUGGCUAGCAGAGAGCUUUUCUUUUUUCUGGCUCAUAAGCAUGCAUUUGGUCAUUCCCUGAAGCUUGCUGUUUUGACCCAAGAACCUGAGAGAGCCGGUUACAAUGGAGUGGAAGAAAGAGGUGGCACCUUUGCCUCCUAGUCCUUUCCUCUGGAUGUCCACCCUCCUGAGUCUGCUCCAGCUCAUGGUGCCUGCAGGGCUGGCAUCUGUGUCUGCGUUGUGUUCCCUCCAGCCAGUUGUACUGCACUCUCACCCCACUAAUGCAGCUCUGCCCUCAACCCUUCAGGGCUGUUAGGCCACUGUCAAAAUUGGCAUUUCACAGAGUGGUCAAGUCACUUUCUGUGUGUAAUUGCAAAAAGCUUCCUUUGGGGGUGGUCCGGUGCUUAUUUAACAAUGGAGCCACAACAGAAAAAUGUACCUGAUCAGUGAAAUUAAUUUUGGAGAGCAGUUGAUGUUACUGCCGGGGUGGUCGUGAGGGCUGUUGUGCUGAGGUGGAACAAGGCAAAGAGGCUCCUGAUGUUCAGGUGAAUUGGGGACCAGGUAACUAGAGUCGAAUGGGUUCCAGGAAGCCUGUAACAGGUAGGGAGUGUG